rnacentral:rRNA from 1 species
GACGUACUUGUACUGAUUGAGAUUUUAACACGAAGUGAGUGGCGAACGGGUGAGUAACACGUGGGUAACCUGCCCAGAAGUAGGGGAUAACACCUGGAAACAGAUGCUAAUACCGUAUAACAGAGAAAACCGCAUGGUUUUCUUUUAAAGAUGGCUCUGCUAUCACUUCUGGAUGGACCCGCGGCGUAUUAGCUAGUUGGUGAGGCAAAGGCUCACCAAGGCAGUGAUACGUAGCCGACCUGAGAGGGUAAUCGGCCACAUUGGGACUGAGACACGGCCCAGACUCCUACGGGAGGCAGCAGUAGGGAAUCUUCCACAAUGGACGCAAGUCUGAUGGAGCAACGCCGCGUGAGUGAAGAAGGGUUUCGGCUCGUAAAGCUCUGUUGUUAAAGAAGAACGUGGGUAAGAGUAACUGUUUACCCAGUGACGGUAUUUAACCAGAAAGCCACGGCUAACUACGUGCCAGCAGCCGCGGUAAUACGUAGGUGGCAAGCGUUAUCCGGAUUUAUUGGGCGUAAAGCGAGCGCAGGCGGUCUUUUAAGUCUAAUGUGAAAGCCUUCGGCUCAACCGAAGAAGUGCAUUGGAAACUGGGAGACUUGAGUGCAGAAGAGGACAGUGGAACUCCAUGUGUAGCGGUGAAAUGCGUAGAUAUAUGGAAGAACACCAGUGGCGAAGGCGGCUGUCUGGUCUGCAACUGACGCUGAGGCUCGAAAGCAUGGGUAGCGAACAGGAUUAGAUACCCUGGUAGUCCAUGCCGUAAACGAUGAUUACUAAGUGUUGGAGGGUUUCCGCCCCUUCAGUGCUGCAGCUAACGCAUUAAGUAAUCCGCCUGGGGAGUACGACCGCAAGGUUGAAACUCAAAAGAAUUGACGGGGGCCCGCACAAGCGGUGGAGCAUGUGGUUUAAUUCGAAGCUACGCGAAGAACCUUACCAGGUCUUGACAUCUUCUGACAGUCUAAGAGAUUAGAGGUUCCCUUCGGGGACAGAAUGACAGGUGGUGCAUGGUUGUCGUCAGCUCGUGUCGUGAGAUGUUGGGUUAAGUCCCGCAACGAGCGCAACCCUUAUUACUAGUUGCCAGCAUUAAGUUGGGCACUCUAGUGAGACUGCCGGUGACAAACCGGAGGAAGGUGGGGACGACGUCAAAUCAUCAUGCCCCUUAUGACCUGGGCUACACACGUGCUACAAUGGAUGGUACAACGAGUCGCGAGACCGCGAGGUUAAGCUAAUCUCUUAAAACCAUUCUCAGUUCGGACUGUAGGCUGCAACUCGCCUACACGAAGUCGGAAUCGCUAGUAAUCGCGGAUCAGCAUGCCGCGGUGAAUACGUUCCCGGGCCUGUACACACCGCCCGUCACACCAUGAGAGUUUGUAACACCCAAAGCCGGUGGGGUAACCUUUUAGGAGCUAGCCGUCUAAGG